UCCNGGUAUUAUUUCAUCAUCACAUAAGAGG
rnacentral:piRNA from 1 species